UACGUAGGUGGCAAGCGUUGUCCGGAAUUAUUGGGCGUAAAGCGCGCGCAGGCGGAUAGGUCAGUCUGUCUUAAAAGUUCGGGGCUUAACCCCGUGAUGGGAUGGAAACUGCCAAUCUAGAGUAUCGGAGAGGAAAGUGGAAUUCCUAGUGUAGCGGUGAAAUGCGUAGAUAUUAGGAAGAACACCAGUGGCGAAGGCGGCUUUCUGGACGAAAACUGACGCUGAGGCGCGAAAGCGAGGGGAGCGAACAGG
rnacentral:rRNA from 1 species